UUUAUUAAGAGUUUGAUCCUGGCUCAGGAUGAACGCUGGCGGCGUGCCUAACACAUGCAAGUCGAGCGAGGCAAAUAUCUAACAUUGAGUACUUGAGAGAUUAAGGGAGAAAGAGAGCCAGCGUUAAGCAGGCCUGUAGACCCUUUGUGAGCAAAGGCUAGCUUUACGCCAUAAAGUGCCAACACAUGAUGAGAAUCGAGUAUUGAAUGUUAGAUAUUUGCCUAGCGGCGGACGGGUGAGUAACGCGUGGGUAACCUACCUUGUACAGGGGGAUAACAGUCGGAAACGAUUGCUAAUACCGCAUAAAGCUAUUCUAAGGCAUCUUAAGAAUAGCCAAAGAUUUAUUGGUACAAGAUGGGCCCGCGUCUGAUUAGCUAGUUGGUGGGGUAAAGGCCUACCAAGGCGACGAUCAGUAGCCGACCUGAGAGGGUGACCGGCCACACUGGAACUGAGACACGGUCCAGACUCCUACGGGAGGCAGCAGUGGGGGAUAUUGCACAAUGGGGGAAACCCUGAUGCAGCGACGCCGCGUGAGCGAUGAAGGCCUUCGGGUCGUAAAGCUCUGUUUCGAGGGAAGAUAAUGACGGUACCUCGGGAGGAAGCCCCGGCUAACUACGUGCCAGCAGCCGCGGUAAUACGUAGGGGGCAAGCGUUAUCCGGAAUCACUGGGCGUAAAGGGUGCGUAGGCGGCCAAUAAAGUCUAGGGUGAAAGGCUACGGCUCAACCGUAGUAAGCCUUAGAAACUUAUUGGCUUGAGUGCAGGAGAGGAGAGUGGAAUUCCUAGUGUAGCGGUGAAAUGCGUAGAUAUUAGGAGGAACACCAGUGGCGAAGGCGACUCUCUGGACUGUAACUGACGCUGAGGCACGAAAGCGUGGGGAGCGAACAGGAUUAGAUACCCUGGUAGUCCACGCCGUAAACGAUGAGUGCUAGGUGUUGGGGGUCAAACCUCAGUGCCGCAGCUAACGCAUUAAGCACUCCGCCUGGGGAGUACGCACGCAAGUGUGAAACUCAAAGGAAUUGACGGGGACCCGCACAAGCAGCGGAGCAUGUGGUUUAAUUCGAAGCAACGCGAAGAACCUUACCUGGACUUGACAUCCUUUUGACCGCUUUUUAACAGAAGUUUUCCCUUCGGGGACAGAAGUGACAGGUGGUGCAUGGUUGUCGUCAGCUCGUGUCGUGAGAUGUUGGGUUAAGUCCCGCAACGAGCGCAACCCUUGUCUUUAGUUGCCAGCAUUUCGGAUGGGCACUCUAGAGAGACUGCCGGGGAUAACUCGGAGGAAGGUGGGGAUGACGUCAAAUCAUCAUGCCCCUUAUGUUCAGGGCUACACACGUGCUACAAUGGCCGAUACAAAGGGCAGCGAAGGAGUAAUCUGGAGCGAAUCUCAUAAAGUCGGUCUCAGUUCGGAUUGUGGGCUGAAACUCGCCCACAUGAAGUCGGAGUUGCUAGUAAUCGCGAAUCAGAAUGUCGCGGUGAAUGCGUUCCCGGGUCUUGUACACACCGCCCGUCACACCACGGGAGUCGGAAGCGCCCGAAGCCAGCUGCUCAACCGUAAGGGGAGAGCUGUCGAAGGUGAAGCCGAUGACUGGGGUGAAGUCGUAACAAGGUAGCCGUAUCGGAAGGUGCGGCUGGAUCACCUCCUUU
rfam:Clostridium aceticum strain DSM 1496, complete genome.